rnacentral:rRNA from 1 species
UGGGGAAUUUUGGACGAAUUGGGCGAAAGCCUGAUCCAGCAAUGCCGCGUGUGUGAAGAAGGCCUUCGGGUUGUAAAGCACUUUUGUCCGGAAAGAAAUCCUUGGCUCUAAUACAGUCGGGGGAUGACGGUACCGGAAGAAUAAGCACCGGCUAACUACGUGCCAGCAGCCGCGGUAAUACGUAGGGUGCAAGCGUUAAUCGGAAUUACUGGGCGUAAAGCGUGCGCAGGCGGUUUGCUAAGACCGAUGUGAAAUCCCGGGCUCAACUGGAACUGCAUUGGUGACUGGCAGGCUAGAGUAUGGCAGAGGGGGGUAGAAUUCCACGUGUAGCAGUGAAAUGCGUAGAGAUGUGGAGGAAUACCGAUGGCGAAGGCAGCCCCCU